rnacentral:rRNA from 1 species
AUGUCCGUGAGCAAGCAAUGGACGCGGGUGCGCACGCUCGGCCGCGGCGCCUCGGGGGCCGAGGUGUUCCUGGCGGCGGACGACGCCUCGGGGGAGCUCUUCGCGGUCAAGUCGGCUAGCGCGGCUUGUGCGGCGGCGCUGAGGAGGGAGCAGCGGGUGAUGGCCGGCCUGAGCUCCCCGCGCGUUGUCUCCUGCAUCGGCGGCCGCGGCGCCCCCGACGGCUCCUACCAGCUCUUCCUCGAGUUCGCCCCCGGCGGCUCGCUGGCCGACCAGAUGGCGACAGGCCUCGACGAGCUCGCCGUCCGCGGCUACGCGGCCGACGUGGCGGCCGGGCUCGCGUACCUUCACAGCGCCGGCAUGGUGCACGGGGACGUCAAGGCGCGCAACGUCGUGAUCGGCGCCGACGGCCGCGCCAAGCUCGCCGAUUUCGGCUGUUCGAGGAAGGCUGGCGCUGACGUGCCGAUCAUCGGUGGCACGCCGGCGUUCAUGGCGCCGGAGGUGGCGCGCGGCGAGGAGCAGAGCCCAGCGGCCGACGUCUGGGCGCUCGGCUGCAUGGUUGUCGAGAUGGCCACUGGACGCACGCCGUGGAGCGGCAUGGACGGCGACGCGCUGGCCGCGCUGCACCGGAUCGGCUACACGGAGGCCAUGCCCGAGGUUCCCGAAUGGUUGUCUGCCGACGCGAAGGACUUCUUGGCCAGGUGCCUUGUCAGGCAGGCCAGCGAUCGGUGCACGGCGGCGCAGCUGCUGGAGCACCCGUUCUUGGCCUCCGCCGUCGUCGAGGCGAAGGCGCAAGCCGUGGAGAGCAAAUGGGUGUCCCCCAAGAGCACGCUGGACGCCGCAUUCUGGGAGUCGGAUUCAGACACCGAGGAGGCGGAGCACGACAGCUCGGCCGAGACGAGGAUCAGGGCACUGGCCUGCCCCGCCUCGGAGCUCCCGGACUGGGACUCGGACGAGGGAUGGAUCGACGUGCUCUCCUCGCCAACCGGAGCAACCGGCGCAGUGCCCGUGGUGGUCGAGGAGAUGACCGACCUGGACGAAGACGCGACCACAGACGAAGAACCAAGCGGCGCAGAGUCCCGCGUUCUCGCCAUUACCUUAGACGUGGAGUACAACAGCGUCCUUAAUGCGGUAGAAGCCUGUGACGAUUCAUUUAGGCGUCACCAGUCGCUCGAGUGUUUAGCUUCCCACGAAUUAUCAUGUACUGAAUUGUUGCUUUGCAACAGAAAGACUAAUGCAAUUGAUCUCGUUGUUGCACAAGCACUCUGUUUUCGUACUGCUGCUCUCUGUUUCACAGCUCCCCAUUGCGACACGUUCGAGUAG